AUGCUGGAGGUAUCAGAAGUGCGAAUGCUGACAUAAGUAACGAUAAAGCGGGUGAAAAGCCCGCUCGCCGGAAGACCAAGGGUUCCUGUCCAACGUUAAUCGGGGCAGGGUGAGUCGACCCCUAAGGCGAGGCCGAAAGGCGUAGUCGAUGGGAAACAGGUUAAUAUUCCUGUACUUGGUGUUACUGCGAAGGGGGGACGGAGAAGGCUAUGUUGGCCGGGCGACGGUUGUCCCGGUUUAAGCGUGUAGGCUGGUUUUCCAGGCAAAUCCGGAAAAUCAAGGCUGAGGCGUGAUGACGAGGCACUACGGUGCUGAAGCAACAAAUGCCCUGCUUCCAGGAAAAGCCUCUAAGCAUCAGGUAACAUCAAAUCGUACCCCAAACCGACACAGGUGGUCAGGUAGAGAAUACCAAGGCGCUUGAGAGAACUCGGGUGAAGGAACUAGGCAAAAUGGUGCCGUAACUUCGGGAGAAGGCACGCUGAUAUGUAGGUGAAGUCCCUUGCGGAUGGAGCUGAAAUCAGUCGAAGAUACCAGCUGGCUGCAACUGUUUAUUAAAAACACAGCACUGUGCAAACACGAAAGUGGACGUAUACGGUGUGACGCCUGCCCGGUGCCGGAAGGUUAAUUGAUGGGGUUAGCGGUAGCGAAGCUCUUGAUCGAAGCCCCGGUAAACGGCGGCCGUAACUAUAACGGUCCUAAGGUAGCGAAAUUCCUUGUCGGGUAAGUUCCGACCUGCACGAAUGGCGUAAUGAUGGCCAGGCUGUCUCCACCCGAGACUCAGUGAAAUUGAACUCGCUGUGAAGAUGCAGUGUACCCGCGGCAAGACGGAAAGACCCCGUGAACCUUUACUAUAGCUUGACACUGAACAUUGAGCCUUGAUGUGUAGGAUAGGUGGGAGGCUUUGAAGUGUGGACGCCAGUCUGCAUGGAGCCGACCUUGAAAUACCACCCUUUAAUGUUUGAUGUUCUAACGUUGACCCGUAAUCCGGGUUGCGGACAGUGUCUGGUGGGUAGUUUGACUGGGGCGGUCUCCUCCUAAAGAGUAACGGAGGAGCACGAAGGUUGGCUAAUCCUGGUCGGACAUCAGGAGGUUAGUGCAAUGGCAUAAGCCAGCUUGACUGCGAGCGUGACGGCGCGAGCAGGUGCGAAAGCAGGUCAUAGUGAUCCGGUGGUUCUGAAUGGAAGGGCCAUCGCUCAACGGAUAAAAGGUACUCCGGGGAUAACAGGCUGAUACCGCCCAAGAGUUCAUAUCGACGGCGGUGUUUGGCACCUCGAUGUCGGCUCAUCACAUCCUGGGGCUGAAGUAGGUCCCAAGGGUAUGGCUGUUCGCCAUUUAAAGUGGUACGCGAGCUGGGUUUAGAACGUCGUGAGACAGUUCGGUCCCUAUCUGCCGUGGGCGCUGGAGAACUGAGGGGGGCUGCUCCUAGUACGAGAGGACCGGAGUGGACGCAUCACUGGUGUUCGGGUUGUCAUGCCAAUGGCACUGCCCGGUAGCUAAAUGCGGAAGAGAUAAGUGCUGAAAGCAUCUAAGCACGAAACUUGCCCCGAGAUGAGUUCUCCCUGAC
rnacentral:rRNA from 1 species